UUUGCUUAUUGUGCUAUAUUUCCUAAACAUUAUGAAUUUGACAAGGAAGACUUAGUUCUUCUAUGGAUGGCCGAGGGCUUUCUAGCCCAACCUGUAGGAAGCAAGGAUAUGAAAGAAGUUGGUAACGAUUGCUUUGAUGAUCUUGUGUCGAGGUCACUUUUCCAACGAUCUAAAGGUCGUGGAUCUUGCUUUGUUAUGCAUGAUCUCAUUAACGACUUAGCUAAAUUUGUUUCUGGAG
rnacentral:misc_RNA from 1 species